AAAGAAGCACACAUGAUAAAGUACUUGCAAAGAGAAUUGGUUUUGUUAUGAGCCAUUUUCAUUCAAUUCUUUUUUCUUUUGAGAAUAAAUUUGCUUAAUUUCUAUAUCAUAAUUGAAACUUUAGAAAGGGUUUGUAGAUUUUUACAGUAUUUUCAUAAACUUUAAAAAGAGUUCAUCAAGCCAUGAUCCUUUUAACACCUAAUAAUACUAUAAUUUGGAAACAACUUGGUUGGAGUAGGUGGCCAACUGCCCACAACCCAUAAAAAAAAAAAGGCUUGGAAUCUGCCUAUAUAGAGCUGCAUCCUCCCUCUAAAUUUCAUCGCACUUUUCUGCUCUAGUUUUCACUGUUCUGCCUUAGAUUCCAUCCAUGGAGUUUCAUUUACUGACAACAGCGAAAACCUUUUGGCAGCUUGCAUUUGCAGUAGGCCAUGGUUGUGGAUGAACUAUGUUGUUUAACCUUUCUGCAUCUUCUUUCUUUUUCUUUUGAUUCUGGUUGUUGCUAUUCUUAUUGUUCUGCAGCCCCAAAGUGGCAUCCAGGAGAUCCUAUACUGAGCGGAUAAAGGAGAGCACAAAGAACAGUGGGCAAACUAGAUGCUGACAUAGAACGCAUCUUAAGAGGAACUAGGGAGCUUCAGUUAGAAAGCAAUUCCAUUCAGGAACGCCUUCAGGGAAGUAAAGAAAGACCCUGUCAGGCGACAGGCUUAUAGGCUGCUCACUAGCAUACAUGAAAGCUUUGAGCAAAUCUCUAAGAAAAUUCUUCCGACUGAUAGAAUUCAAAGAGAAAUGGCUGACCAUUGAAAGAAACUACGAGCCAUGGCUUCUGGAAGCUUAAAUGUAGACAAGCUACCUACAAGCUGAUCUUGAUGCCAUUGUGAAGGAAAAUGAGUACCUGGAGCAACAACCAUGAGACAAUUAAACCUAUUUCUCGACACUAGAAAUAAAAUGUAACAGGUUCUGAGACAAUUCUCAUGCAUCCCUAAAAAAAGAAGGCCCCGAGAAUGGAAAGCAGCCUCUGAGAUUCCAAGUUUAAUGCAUGGAAAGAAGGCCCAUAGCAAAUCAUGAUUAUUAGUCUUAGUGUUUCUGUUUUUAUUUAUUUUUUGUUAUUAUUAUAAUUAUUAAGAUUUUAUACGCGCUUUUCUCUUGUAGAGUUGGUUUUCUUUGUAAAUUUGGGUCUUCUCAGCCUUGUGUAAUUGCCUUUCUAUUUAUGUAUAUUCAAAGAAUUGGUUGAUGAGAA